rnacentral:lncRNA from 1 species
UUUUUUUCUCAAUUUGAAAAUUCCAAACAUCCCAGAGGACGGAAAAUGAUGCAGGAACUUAUAUAACAACAGCUCUAGAAACCUGCCAAUAUGUGACUUAAAAACUUCAUCCUUUCGUCUGAAUCAAGCUUGCAAUCGUGAAAACUGAUCACGCUAUCGCUCACUGUUUAGAACUUGAAGAAAAGCCAAAAGGAAAAAGCAGUGUUAGCAGGAGAGAUCAGCGUGGCAGCCGGGGGCGGCGAUCUUAUACGGCAGUCGCUCCUCCCGUCGUUUUCCAACCGUCUCAUCCCACGCAUGCGCGCGAUUACCGAUUUAUAUUCCACGGCUUACAUCAAGCAAGCAACGCUGUGCUUUCCUGGAGAAAACAAUUAGUCUAAGAGCUGGUCUCUCGUCUCUUACAUUUAGCCUGCCUUGGUUCCGAGCUCCCUCUGCGUGGGCUACUUCGUACCUGCAAGGAUCACGAUCUCGUCGUGACUUGAAUCUCAUGAGCGAGCGAGCGGAUCAAAUGCGUGCCAUACCUGUCACUGGUACUAAGUCUUAUUUGAUUCUUCCGCGCAUCGAGGACGCUCUCGCUCC